rnacentral:rRNA from 1 species
CCAAUAGCGUAUAUUAAAGUUGUUGCAGUUAAGAAGCUCGUAGUUGAAUUUCGGGAUCAAUAUGUCGGUCGUGCCUUCGGUACGUACUGGCAUCAUUGAUUUCUCCCUUCUGACGAACCACGAUGUCAUUAAUUUGGUGUCAUGGGGAAUCAGGACUGUUACUUUGAAAAAAUUAGAGUGUUUAAAGCAGGCUCACGCUUGAAUACAUUAGCAUGGAAUAAUGAAAUAGGACGUUUGACCCUAUUUUGUUGGUUUCUAGGAUAAACGUAAUGAUUAAUAGGGAUAGUUGGGGGCAUUAGUAUUCAAUUGUCAGAGGUGAAAUUCUUGGAUUUAUUGAAGACUAACUACUGCGAAAGCAUUUGCCAAGGAUGUUUUCAUUAAUCAAGAACGAAAGUUAGGGGAUCGAAGACGAUCAGAUACCGUCGUAGUCUUAACCAUAAACUAUGCCGACUAGGGAUCGGAUGAUGUUAAUUUUUUAAUGACUCAUUCGGCGCCUUGCG